rnacentral:rRNA from 1 species
UUGACCUCAAAUCAAGCAAGAUUACCCGCUGAACUUAAGCUUCAAUAAGCGGAGGAAAAGAAACUAACAAGGAUUCCCCUAGUAACUGCGAGUGAAGCGGGAAAAGCUCAAAUUUAAAAUCUGGCAGUGAUUCACUGCCCGAGUUGUAAUCUAGAGAAGUGUUGCUCACACUGGACCGUGUACCAAGUCUCCUGA